UACGUAGGUGGCAAGCGUUGUCCGGAUUUAUUGGGUUUAAAGGGUGCGUAGGCGGUUUUGUAAGUCAGUGGUGAAAUACUCUAGCUUAACUAGAGGGGUGCCAAUGAUACUGCGGAACUUGAGUACAGAUGAGGUAGGCGGAAUUGACGGUGUAGCGGUGAAAUGCAUAGAUAUCGUCAAGAACACCGAUAGCGAAGGCAGCUUACUGGGCUGUAACUGACGCUGAUGCACGAAAGUGUGGGGGAUCAAACAGG
rnacentral:rRNA from 1 species